rnacentral:rRNA from 1 species
AGCGAACGCUGGCGGCAGGCCUAACACAUGCAAGUCGAACGAACUCUUCGGAGUUAGUGGCGGACGGGUGAGUAACACGUGGGAACGUGCCUUUAGGUUCGGAAUAACUCAGGGAAACUUGUGCUAAUACUGAAUGUGCCCUUCGGGGGAAAGAUUUAUCGCCUUUAGAGCGGCCCGUGUCUGAUUAGCUAGUUGGUGAGGUAAAGGCUGACCAAGGCGACGAUCAGUAGCUGGUCUGAGAGGAUGAUCAGCCACAUUGGGACUGAGACACGGCCCAAACUCCUACGGGAGGCAGCAGUGGGGAAUCUUGCGCAAUGGGCGAAAGCCUGACGCAGCCAUGCCGCGUGAAUGAUGAAGGUCUUAGGAUUGUAAAAUUCUUUCACCGGGGACGAUAAUGACGGUACCCGGAGAAGAAGCCCCGGCUAACUUCGUGCCAGCCGCCGCCGUAA